rnacentral:rRNA from 1 species
CCUACGGGAGGCAGCAGUGAGGAAUAUUGGUCAAUGGACGAGAGUCUGAACCAGCCAAGUAGCGUGAAGGAUGACUGCCCUAUGGGUUGUAAACUUCUUUUAUAUGGGAAUAAAACAGGGUAUGCAUACCCUCUUGUAUGUACCAUAUGAAUAAGGAUCGGCUAACUCCGUGCCAGCAGCCGCGGGAAUACGGAGGAUCCGAGCGUUAUCCGGAUUUAUUGGGUUUAAAGGGAGAGUAGGUGGAUUGUUAAGUCAGUUGUGAAAGUUUGCGGCUCAACCGUAAAAUUGCAGUUGAAACUGGCAGGCUUGAGGACAGUAGAGGUGGGCGGAAUUCGUGGUGUAGCGGUGAAAUGCUUAGAUAUCACGAAGAACUCCGAUUGCGAAGGCAGCUCACUGGACUGCAACUGACACUGAUGCUCGAAAGUGUGGGUAUCAAACAGGAUUAGAUACCCUGGUAGUC